AGUCACUGACAUUAGAUACCCCCGUAGUCCAGGGUGUAAACGCUGCUGACUUGGUGUUGGAGGCCCUUUGGGGGCAUUCAGUGCCGGAGAGAAGUUGUUAAGUCUGCUACUUGGGGAGUACGUCCGCAAGGAUGAAACUUAAAGGAAUUGGCGGGGGAGCACCGCAACGGGAGGAGCGUGCGGUUUAAUUGGAUUCAACACCGUAAAACUCACCAGGGAAGACUGUUACAUGAAGGCCGAGAUGAAGACUCUGCUAGAUUUUCAG
rnacentral:rRNA from 1 species